CAGCAGCCACGGUAAUACGAAGGGGGCUAGCGUUGCUCGGAAUCACUGGGCGUAAAGGGUGCGUAGGCGGGUCUUUAAGUCAGGGGUGAAAUCCUGGAGCUCAACUCCAGAACUGCCUUUGAUACUGAAGAUCUUGAGUUCGGGAGAGGUGAGUGGAACUGCGAGUGUAGAGGUGAAAUUCGUAGAUAUUCGCAAGAACACCAGUGGCGAAGGCGGCUCACUGGCCCGAUACUGACGCUGAGGCACGAAAGCGUGGGGAGCAAACAGGAUUAGAUACCCGCGUAGUCCCUGUCUCUUAUAC
rnacentral:rRNA from 1 species